rnacentral:rRNA from 1 species
UUGCUAUGAGAACAAUUAGUGGCAGACGGGUGAGUAAUGCAUAGGAAUCUACCUAGUAGUAUAGGAUAGCCACUAGAAAUGGUGGGUAAUACUGUAUAAUCCCUGCGGGGGAAAGAUUUAUCGCUACAUGAUGAGCCUAUGUUAGAUUAGCUAGUUGGUGGGGUAAUGGCCUACCAAGGCAGUGAUCUAUAGCUGGUCUGAGAGGAUGAUCAGCCACACUGGAACUGAGACACGGUCCAGACUCCUACGGGAGGCAGCAGUGGGGAAUAUUGGACAAUGGGCGCAAGCCUGAUCCAGCUAUGCCGCGUGAGUGAGGAAGGCCUUAGGGUUGUAAAACUCUUUCAGUGGGGAAGAUAAUGACGGUACCCACAGAAGAAGUCCCGGCAAACUCCGUGCCAGCAGCCGCGGUAAUACGGAGGGGGCAAGCGUUGUUCGGAAUUAUUGGGCGUAAAGGGCAUGUAGGUGGUUUGGUAAGUUAAAGGUGAAAUGCCAGGGCUUAACCCUGGAGCUGCUUUUAAUACUGCCAGACUGGAGUCCGGGAGAG